GGAAAUCUCACCAGGCCCGGACACUGGAAGGAUUGACAGAUUGAUAGCUCUUUCUUGAUUCGGUGGGUGGUGGUGCAUGGCCGUUCUUAGUUGGUGGAGUGAUUUGUCUGGUUAAUUCCGCUAACGAACGAGACCUUAACCUGCUAAAUAGUGACGCGGUUCAUCGAACCGUGGGCCACUUCUUAGAGGGACUAUCGGAUUCAAACCGAUGGAAGUGUGAGGCAAUAA
rnacentral:rRNA from 1 species